rnacentral:tRNA from 1 species
UUAUUGGUGAUUCAGUGGUAGAAUUUCCGCCUUCUAUGUAGGAGACUUGGGUUCAUUUCCCAUCCAACACG